AUUGGUGGGUUUGGUGGGGAGGUGUUUACAUGUCCAUAGUGAAUUAUUUUUUGUACUCAGUAAAAUGUAGGAUAAAUUCUGCAAAUACUAUACUUUAUAUUGCCAAAGGAGAAUACCUCCUUAAACAAGAAAUUUGGGGGCUGGUAUAAGAACUAGCUGUAUGAAAAGUGACAGGACUGGCUGUGUAAUUUGCCAUGCCCAGUGCAAAAUGAAAAUGUGGGAAACCUUACUAAAAAAUAAUUAAGAGGAGUUCCUGGGUAAUGAACCCGGCUAGUAUUCACGAGGAUUCAGGUUUGAUCCCUGGCCUUGCUCUGUAGGUUUAAGGAUCCGGUGUUACCGUGAGCUGUGGUGUAGGUUGCAGAUGCAACUUGAAUCCCAUGUUGCUGUGGCUGUGGCUGGCAGCUGCAGCUCCGAUUCAACCCCUAACCUGGGAACUUCAGUGUGCCACAAGUGUGGCCCUAAAAAGAAAAAAAAUUAAGAAUUUCAAGAUGACAACAGCAGAGGUUAAAGCAAGUGUGGGGCUCUUUUAAGCUUGAGGUGCUAUGCAGCUGCAUGGGUUGCACAGCAAUGAAGCUGACCCUGCCAGAUGCCUUAGAUGGAUUGUGAAAGCUGCUUACUCACUAUGUUGCCUGCUCAAUGAUAAAGUCCCAUGUGAUAAAUUCCUCUUUGAUCACAGCACCAGAAUAGCGUUUAUAUCAUCCAAAAUGACUUGUCAAAUUUGCCUUUGUAUGAAAGAGUUAACUGUUGUGAUCCAGUGGGCUUCCCCAGUCUGGUUUUUUUUCUGAUGUCAUUUCUUCUUUAUUAUUUGAUUUUGGUUUUGUAGCCAGUGUUAAUGGGUUUUGUCUUUUGUGUUUGAAGCCAUCACAAAUCUUCUCUUGGAAAUAGGUGAAAAGCAUAAAUAAACAAAACUCUUAAAAGUGGUUUUAAAAGUUAAUUUAAAAAGCCUGUCAUCAUCAGCGUAGUUUACUGGGUGCAAUAAUAACUCUAUUAAUGAAAUUAAUGUUUUCUAACAACAUAAUUAUUUGCUGGAAACUUCAUAACCUCAGGCAGAAAUAAUCUGGGAAGCAGAGGAUGCAUUUCAGAUAAGCAAGAGUAUACAUCAGCAAUUUUAAAUAGCAAUAAAAAUAUCAUAGUCUUAAGCAAAAGCUUAAGCAGUUAAGGUUAAAGGAGAUAAAGGUUGGAGUUUGGUGUAUAUUUUGGGAAGGAAAAUCCAUUGGGGUUAAGCUUAGAGGAAAGGGACCUGCUGGUAGACAGCCCUUUGCUGGGGUGAUGUAGGUUCAUUUCAAAUGUAACAUAUGCUCUUCUAUUCCCUAAAGUUUUCUGCAGCCUUAGCUAGGAUCUGUGAAGAGCAAGGAGCCAGUUAUGGAGACUGUGCUUUGGGCCUCUCUCCCCAAGUCAUCCCAUAUGAAUUAAACUGGAUUGUCCAUCAAGUAGAGUUGCUAGAUUCAGUUGUGCAAGGUUUUUCACUGCACAGAUCCACUGGGUAAUGGGCAAGUGACAUCUGAAUUCCUCCCUACUUUAUGAUGAUCAAGCUGUAUCUCUUCAUAUGGAACUGUGUCCUCUGUAAGAAGAGAAACAUAUGGGCUGGUGUUUAGGCCAGCCUGAGAAUCAGCUAAGUAGGCUUAGUAGAGAUCUAAGUAUUCAGGAGUCCUUUAAAGAAAGAAAAUGCCUUUUCUUACUAGGAAUAAAAAAUAUUUCCAAUUAGAGAACUCUAAUAAUAAUAUUUUUAGUUAAUUUCAGUCUGAGAGUCCUAGUUAAGGUAGAAUGGAAAGAGUAGUCAUUCUUCAUUGUUUUGCUAGGAUCCUGGUGUGUGAAGACCUAGAACCUUUCAGUGAGUUGGAGACCAGGGAAUGGGAGAAAUGGAUGCAGAAUGAAAUAGAUACAUUAGUUUUCACCACUUUGGCUUUGAUUUAGGCAUCAUCUUCCAAGGGUGUUUGUUAAUUAAACUAUUACUAGAUUGUGUUAAUUGAAAUACUACUUGAUUUGAGAAUAAUAGUCUCUGAGUUUUUCUUAUCCUUUAAGUAUCUAAGAAAUUAUAUUUGUAUUUCCUUGUUAAAACUAGUGAAACGAUGUAAAAUCAUAUAUGAACACAUGGAAAAAUACACAUGAUAAAUUAGAUAACAUUUUUGUAAUAGCAGAAUGAGAGCAAGUUAAUUUCCAUUGAAGAUAAAAUAAUGAGCACAUUUGCGAUUUGUGCUGCUUGCUCAUCAUAAUUAUGAGACAUGACAUUUAAGUGCAUAUGAAAUGAGACUUAGCCUGCACUUUCACAUUUAAAACACUAGUUAUCUUCUAGAUAGAAUCUUACACUUGCAUGGCUGUACUAGCUAGAGUGUUUUUCCUUCUUGAUACUUCUGGGCUGGACUCCCUUUCUACCAAAUAUGUCAAGUGCUUGCUGUGUACCGAGCAUGGUGCUGGAGGAUAUGCAAGCAGAAGCCCCCAGGGUUGCAGUAUAGUUAGGAAAUGUUAAGAUUAAAGCCUCUCUUCCUUUUUCCUCCCCCUGUCACUAUAGUCCCCUAUACUUUCUGAGAUGUCUUUCAACCACUCUUGCAAGCUUCUGCAUCGUAGGAAAACUAUAGGCUUUUCUCUUUGCUGUCUUUCUGUAAAAUUCUUCACCCAUUCCUCUAUGUGGAGCUAGUCACUUUGACCCUGUGUUUUCCAGGGCACUUCAUAUUUUACUUUUCUAUCAUAGUUAUUUCUAUUCAUGCCUUUAUUCGCCCUAGAUUUCAAGUUCCCUAAUAUCAUGGGUUCAAAUGAAUUCUCAACUCUGUCUUCUUCAUGAUGUUAGCAAAAUGCCUUUAUCAUAGUUGGUGCUCAAAAAUAGUUUACCAGAUAGGAGUUCCCUUCAUGGCACAGCGGAAACAAAUCCGACUAGGAACCAUCAGGUUGCAAGUUUGAUCCCUGGCCUCACUUAGUGGGUUAAAGAUCCGGCAUUGUUGUGAGCUAUUGUAUAGGUCAUAGAUGUGGCUUGGAUUCUGCAUUGCUGUGGCUGUGGCUGUGGCUGGCAGCUAUAGCUCCAGUUGGACCCCUAGCCUGGGAACCUCCAUAUGCCAUGGAUGCAGCCCUAAAAAGAAAAAAAAAAUUUACCAGAUGAAAUGGGAUUGGAUUAAAAUAAUAAUUUACCUGUUGACUAUUCAGGGACACACAUUGAUCAUUCAUAUGGUCUAGAGCCAAGUUGUAGUACUGUCAGCAUUUUUAAUUUGUAUUUAUUGUGCAGCAGAAAAUUUAAUGCCCAGCCUCCUAUUCCUGAACAAAUAGAGUAUUGUCAUCAUUUUCAUUUGCCUUUUCCAGUCUGGUAUAUUUGCAAACAUAAUUUCUAUGAAUCUCUGAACUCAUAGUAUACUCAGUUAUGAGUUCUGUACUCUUUCAGGUAUGUAGGAGACUAAGAUCUUAAACUGAAGAAAUGAGCAAUUUUGUCAAUAAAUAUAUGGCUUUUGAGAUUGUUGUGCCAAAGCAGCUUUUUAAUUCUGAAACAUGUCUAGUGGCUUCUUAUCAAGCUUCAGAAAGUACAUUCUUUCACAGAUUUGUAAUAACAGUGUCAUAAAUUAUGCCCACGUGUAUCAGGGGAUCACCUCAGACUGGGAUUUUUCUCCAGUGAAACAGCAGUGGCUAAUAAUUUGAGAUGAAAUUCUAAUUAUUUUAAUGAGAUUAUUUUGCUUCUUAGCAUGUCAAGCAAUUUGUUUUACACCUUUACUAAUUAUUUUUCAUUUUUGAAGACUUAAAUAGAGGAGACAUGACAGGGGUCCCGUUUCAUCUCUUGGACCAUUAAUUAUGCCAUGGUGGUUUCAGUACUGAUGAGACACCAAGACAAAUGAAUCUUGUUGGAUUUUAUUCUGUUUAACAGAUUUCAUUCUUCAAACAAGUUUUCUUAGAAAAUCAUUAAUCACUAAACUAUGGAUUAAAUAGUGACAAUAAUGGAAAUAUAACCAACAACAAAUUGUUCAUGGUUGGCUUCUCCAAGGAUUUGACAGCUAAUUUAUAAAACAAGUUAUUUUUAUAUAGUAAGACUUCUGUGACUAAAGUACAAUUGCUUCAACAAAAAUGCUCAGCAUUAUUCCCUAGUCUGUGGGGGAAUGAAUACACAGACCUUUAUUCUUCUCUCUUGAUCCCCUUUUCUUGCCUCUUUUUGCAAGAUUUCAGUUGGUCCUGACUCAUUGCCAGCAUAUGCCCUUGAAACAGUUACUAUGUUUGCUGGUAUAAAAGGUUAUGAAAUCUAUUUUAUGUCCUCAACCCAGAGUCCACACUGGAAAGCUCUCAAGCCAUAUUAUGGGAAACUUGGCAUACAGAUAAAACAAAAUUCCUAAGACUCUGUUACAGGAGAGUGAUGGUAUCUUCUCAGUCAGAACUGGCAUAUUUUGGGGAGCAGUUGGAAAUGGGGAGAAGGAGUUUUUUUGAACAGGUGGUGAAACAGAGCAGGACCCUAUGGUCCUCCCCACCACCCCCAUGUUUUCCACCUGCCUUUUGUCUAUAGAAAAACUUUAGUCAAAAAUAAGUUUAACCAAGAGUUCCCAUCGUGGCUCAGUGGUUAACAAACCCGACAAGUAUCCAUGAGGACUCGGGUUUGAUCCCUGGCCUCGCUGAGUGGGCUAAGGAUUCAGCGUUGCCGUGAGCUAUGGUGUAGGUUGCAGACGCGGCUUGGAUCCCCCAUUGUUGUGGCUGUGGUGUAGGCCUGCAGCUGCAGCUCCGAUUGGACCCCUAGCCUGGGAACCUCCAUAUGCCAUGG
rnacentral:lncRNA from 1 species